rnacentral:tRNA from 1 species
GGUUGUGUCUCAGUGAUAGAGCACUUGCCUAGCACACAUGAGGCACUGGGUUCAAUCCUCAGCAACACA